UAAAUUGAAGCCAAAUGUUAAGGCGCUUAGCUGUUAACUAAGAGUUGGGAGAUAGAUACCCUCCAGUUUAG
rnacentral:tRNA from 1 species